UACGUAGGCAGCGAGCGUUGUUCGGAGUUACUGGGCGUAAAGGGUGUGUAGGCGGUUCUCUAAGUUUGGUGUGAAAUCUCCCGGCUUAACCGGGAGGGUGCGCCGAAAACUGGGAGACUAGAGUGCGGGAUGGGAGAGUAGAAUUCCUGGUGUAGCGGUGAAAUGCGUAGAUAUCAGGAGGAAUACCGGUGGUGCAGACGGCUCUCUGGACCGCAACUGACGCUGAGACACGAAAGCGUGGGUAGCAAACGGG
rnacentral:rRNA from 1 species